rnacentral:lncRNA from 1 species
CCCAGCCACCGAACUAAGAGGUAGCUGGUUAUUUAGCACCUCUACCGUCUGAGUUGGCUGCUUCUGUGACAACAGAUCUGGCUCAAAGGAAGAGGACGCAGUAGAAUAAAAUCCAGCAAAAUCCAGAAUAUGAACAACUGAUACCUCAUAUGAAAGACCUGCCAAGCCAUCGGGAAGAGAAUUAUAUGCAAAAGGCCGAUUGCUUGGACGAGGCGGAUUCGGCUCUGUGUUUGCUGGGACCCGCAGGUCUGAUGGACUUCCAGUCACCAUCAAGUAUGUCUCUAAAAACAGAACACUCUGGUUGGAAGUUGUGAAUUCAUAAGAUUAUUAGUCUUGAGGUGGCUUUGAUGACUCGGGUCAAUACAGCUACUCACUGCCCUAAUGUCGUGCAGCUCGUAGAGUGGUUUGACCGUCGCACUCGAUGCAUCUUGAUCCUGGAGCGUCCGGUUCCCUCCAGGAUCAGCAGUUUCUGCAAAGACUGGAUGAAAUACUGGCCAAGAAAGUUCUGGUGCAGCUCAUCAGCACGCCAAAACACUGCGAGAGCUGUUGGGUCCUGCACCGGGACGUCACACCAGAGAACCUGCUGACCUAAAGCUGCUGGAGUUCGGCUGUGGAGAUCUCCUAAAGCACUCAGCCUUCAGAUAUUUUCAGGCACUCCUCAGUACGGCCCUGAUGAGUGGUUUCAGCAGCAUCUGCUGGACCAUCUACUGUCUGGUCAGUCGGGGUGACACUCUACUACAACAUCCUCUGCGGUUGUUUUUUAGCGUCAGAGCCGCAUGCAGGGUCACCUGCUAAAGCAGACUGCACUUCCCUCGAGAGCUGUCUACAGAGUGCCGUCAGGUGAUUAGCUGGUGUCUCAGUGCAGCGUUGGCUGAUCUCACCCCAGCUUGCAUGACAUUGAGCACCAUCCUUGGUU